CGGUUGAUCCUGCCGGAGGUUGCGGCUAUGGGAGUCCGAUUUAGCCAUGCAAGUUCUGGGGUCCUUCGGGACACCGGCAAAAUGCUCAGUAACACGUCAAUAAUCUGCCCUUAGAUUUGGGAUAGCCUUGGGAAACUGAGGGUAAUACCGGAUAUUGAAUAUUAACUGGAAUGUUAUAUUCUAUAAAGCUUCGGCGUCUAAGGAUGAGUUGGCGGCUGAUUAGGUUGUUGGUGGGGUAAUGGCCCACCAAGCCUAAGAUCAGUAGAGGCCUUGAGAGAGGGAGCCUCGAGAAGGGCACUGAGACACUGGCCCUAGCCCUACGGGGUGCGGCAGGCACGAAAACUUUACAAUGCACGAAAGUGUGAUAAGGGGACUCCUAGUGCCCAUGCUAAGCAUGGGCUUUUGCCAUGAGUAAAAAUUAUGGCGAAUAAGUGGUGGGCAAGACUGGUGCCAGCAGCCGCGGUAACACCAGCGCCACAAGUCGGAAUCGCAAUUAUUGGGCCUAAAGCGUCCGUAGCCGGUUAAGUAAAUCUUUUGUGAAAUCGUCGGGCUCAACUCGACGGCGUGCAGAAGAGACUGCUUAACUAGGGACCGGGAGGAGUCAGAAGUAUUCCGGGGGGAGCGGUAAAAUGCUAUAAUCCUCGGAAGACUACCUGUGGCGAANGCGUCUGACCAGAACGGAUCCGACGGUGAGGGACGAAAGCCAGGGGAGCGAAACGGAUUANAUACCCGCGUAGUCCUGGNCGUAAACGCUGCGAGCUAGGUGUU
rnacentral:rRNA from 1 species